UGGGCUGGCCGGGCGACCGCGGCGCACCUCCGGGUGCGACGAGGAAGGUCCGGGCUCCACAGGGCAGGGUGGUGGGUAACACCCACCCGGGGUGACCCGCGGGACAGUGCCACAGAAAACAGACCGCCUCCCGGCUCCGGCCGGGCGGCAAGGGUGAAACGGUGGUGCAAGAGACCACCAGCGACCCGGGCGACCGGGUCGGCUCGGUAAACCCCACCCGGAGCAAGGUCAAGAAGUCGUGGGUCCGCCCGCGAUGCGUGCACGUUCGAGGGCUGCCCGCCCGAGUGCACGGGUAGACCGCUGGAGGGCGUCGGCAACGGCGCUCGUAGAUGGAUGGUCGCCCCCCGACGCCCCGCGAGGGGCCCGGGGACAGAACCCGGCCUACAGGCCAGCCCGUCCG
rnacentral:RNase_P_RNA from 1 species